rnacentral:misc_RNA from 1 species
CCAAUAGCGUAUAUUAAAGUUGUUGCAGUUAAAAAGCUCGUAGUUGAAUUUCGGGAUCAAUAUAUCGGUCGUGCCAUCGGUACGUACUGGUAUCAUUGGUUUCUCCUUUCUGACGAACCAUGAUGUCAUUAAUUUGGUGUUAUGGGAAGUUAGGACUGUUACUUUGAAAAAAUUAGUGUGUUUAAAGCAGGCUUUAGCUUGAAUACAUUAGCAUGGAAUAAUGAAAUAGGACGUUCGAACCUAUUUUGUUGGUUUCUAGGAUCAACGUAAUGAUUAAUAGGGAUAGUUGGGGGCAUUAGUAUUCAAUUGUCAGAGGUGAAAUUCUUGGAUUUAUUGAAGACUAACUACUGCGAAAGCAUUUGCCAAGGAUGUUUUCAUUAAUCAAGAACGAAAGUUAGGGGAUCGAAGACGAUCAGAUACCGUCGUAGUCUUAACCAUAAACUAUGCCGACUAGGAAUCAGACGAUGUUAAUUUUUUAAUGACUCGUUUGGCACCUUACG